GAUGAACGCUGGCGGCGUGCCUAAUACAUGCAAGUCGAGCGAACAGACGAGGAGCUUUCUCCUCUGACUUUAUCGGCGGACGGGCGAUUAACACGUGGAUAACCUACCUAUAAGACUGGGAUAACUUCGGGAAACCGUAGCUAAGACCGGAUAAUAUAUUGAACCUCAUUGUUCAAUAGUUGAAGACGGUUUUUCUUUCACUUAUAGAUUGAUCCGCGCCGCAUUACCUAGUUGGUAAGGUAACGGCUUACCAACGCAACGAUGCGAAGCCGACCUGAACGGGAGAUCGGACACACUGGAUCUGAGAAACGGCACAGACACCUAGGGGAGGAAGCAGUAGGGAAUCUUACGCAAUGGGGGAAAGCCUGACGGAGCACAGCGGCGUGAGUGAUGAUGGUCUUAGGCUCGUAAAACUAUGAUAUUCGGGAAGAUGAAAUGUGUAAGUACCUAUGAACGUAUUGACGGUACCUAAUCAGAAAGCCACGGCUAACUCCGUG
rnacentral:rRNA from 1 species